AAUCUAAAAAAAUCGUUUCAUAAAUCUCAUGCUUUUGCAUAGAUAGGAAUUUUACAAUACACACUAGAUUUUAACCCGUGGUAUACCGCGGGACGAUUUAUUUUUUAAAAGUAAUAUAUAUUAAAAUUUGCAAAUUUUAUUUUUAUAAAAUAUUUAUAUUUUAUAGUUUAUAAUUGUUAUUAAGUAACGCUAUACCACGAAUCCAUGAGACAAUUGUUAAAAAACUGAAGUUGUAACCCCUAUUAAAACAACAUAUUAAUA
rnacentral:sRNA from 1 species